rnacentral:lncRNA from 1 species
AGUGCUUUCCUGCGGACGUGCGCUGCUGCCCAGCCUCAGGCUCCAGUCCUGCGCUGGCUGCUGCUGGCUGUCGUCAGCGAUGCCGCCGCCGGCCACAAGGUGGCAGUGCCGUGCUGCGUGGCUACACGCCCCUGGAAGCACCGGACCAGCCUUGGUCUGGCAAAAGUUUUCCAGUCUUUCCAGCAGAUGCGCCCAGGCCGUGAGCCCUCCCGGGCGGCCUGGAGGUGUUCUGAGGAUUGUCUCUAGUUCUGGCGACGUCUUGAAAGAACUGAGUCUGAGCGAGGCAGACAGACGGCAGCAUUAGUGGUGAUGGAGCUGCACUGCUAAAUGUGGAGAUGGGAGGGGAAACACACCUGGGCUUCCACAGGGCAGGAGAAGAUCUGUCACUUGGGCAGAGCCUUUGAGUCGCACUCAGGUGAUCUCCAGGUCUACACUCUCCCACCUGUGCUCCGAGGAGAGGUGUAGACUAUCUCUUGGAUUUUGCUUGGAGGAUGUCCUUUCCGGACUCAGGACCUAGGAGAGACCAGCAGGAAACAGAACAGAGUCUACAUAGGUGAAUAUCAAAGAAUCACCUGGAGAGAUUUACAGACAACAGACUGGGACAAAAGGCCUGAGUCACAGACCAGUGAUUGGCAAAACAGAGAAGCUGAAGCAACUGUACAGCAAGCAGGAGCUCACACACGGGAGCCUACCUCUGGGAAUGCCGAGAAGUCAAUGCAAUGGUCACAUCUCAGGUUGUCUGGACACACAGACGGUUCACAAAUCCCGGGAUGGACCAGGAAGGCCAUUCAGUGAGAUUGUGUUGAACUGGGGAGUGGUGACAGUAAACAUUGACAUUAUGGUCCUACAUACAUAUCAUACGUUCCAUUAGUGUCCUACAUAAGUUAUAACCUGCUUACUCCUCCCAGUGCCCUUGAGAGAUCAGCCUGCUAAUUCCCACUCCAGAGUCAGGGAAGCUAAGUGCUGGGGACUCAGGAAACUUGACUGCGUUUAUAGCCAGUGAGUGGCAAAGCUGAUGUUUGAAUCCGUGUUUCGUGUUUCAGAGUCUUGGGAAGCUACGGUUUUUGUCCAUGGGGCUGAGUUGCUACACCACCCUAGAUGGUGGGCUGAGGGGCCUCUUCUGAUGAACUCCCUUCAGAAUGCAUUCCCUUCACAUCUGUUACCUCUUGCGGUGUGGGUCGCUGCUCUGUGGAAGUUGGACAGAACCCUUGGAACCUCCCGUGUGAUUCUGAAGUCUAGUGCAAACUCCAGUCAGUAAACUAAGAGAAACCAUUUUUAGUCAAAGGAAGCAAGGAACACUCCAACCAGCCCAGACUGACUUUCUUCUGUGGUUAAAAAUCUGGAUCUCCAUGUAAUUGCAACUGGGAAGAUCCUGCUGGAAGAUGUGCCAAGGUAGCCCCACAUGUUCCAAAGGGAUCGAAACUCAUUUGGAAGGGUAUGUUCUGAGAGAGAGAGAGAGAGAGAGAGAGAGAGAGAGAGAGAGAGAGAAGAAGAAGAAGAAGAAGAAGAAGAAGAAGAAGAAGAAGAAGAAGAAGAAGAAGAAGAAGAAGAAGAAGGAAGAACAACAAGAACAACAAGGAAGAAGAAGGAGAAGAAGGAGAAGGAGGAGAAGAAGGAGGAGGAGGAGGAGGAGGAAGAAGGAGAAGAGAGAGAAUUUCUUCUACUACUUCUUUAUAUUUAUGUAUUUAUUCUCUUUUGCACUUAGUGUGUAACUUGGUGCCUUACAUAAACCAUGGAAUAAUUAGGCUUUCUUCAGGAUGUAAGGAAAUUCCCUACAUCAGAGGACCUUACUAUCCAAGCUAAGGUAAGAAUGAAGUCCCAGCCGCAAGGGUGAUGGAAGGGAGACGAUGAAGAUAACAUAUGGUGGGAACAUCUCCAGGGAUGAUGGGAGAUACGGCUACAAAUGCUGCAUCCUAGGAGGAUGAAUUCUUUUCCUGUCUGCCAGUGAUCUCAGUUUUGUCAAUCAUUUCCAUGUACCCUCCCACUUCCUACAACUGCACUUAAGCCUUAGAAGAAAUAGGACAGGCAGUCUGGACAACGAGUGACACCAGGGAGUCCCUAGGUGUGUAUUUCCUUGUAUGUCUCUGUAAGUGUGGUCCCCAGCAUCCUAAUGGUUUGAUUUUGGCAGUAACUGGCUUUCUUAGGCACACCACCACUGUCGUUGUGGCAUGCUCACUAAACAUGGACUCCCUGUUCUUUGCUAAUCAAAUCUACCUGUAUACUCAGAAAUGCCACGAGUAGUCUAAGGCAGGCAUUGGCUAUGCCUACCUGUCACCUCUUUGGGAAAAAUAAAGUUUUAUUAGAACACA